GUCAGAAAAAUUACACUGGUUAUAUAGCAGUUUGACAAACACCAAUUUUGAUCAUUGAGAAGCUUAAUAUUCCUUUUACAACACAACGUCAUUAAAACGUUUCGCUGACUUUACAGAGUUAUCUCCCUGUAGUGUUAGGUACCACCUUAAUACGUAAAAAGGUCAAAAUGGAGUUAUAGCAGUCAACUUUGUGUUAUAAUCUUAAUCAUUUUAAAAAUAACCAAAUAUGUCAACAAAGAAAUACAAAAAGGCAUAAAGACUACGCACAUUAGCAAAAGCUAAAGACAAGAAAUCACUUUCUAAACUUCUAGCCUAGCCUCAGAAGACCUUUCCUGGAUGUACCUUCAUCAGGAAUACUCAAACCACCCAAACAUUUUAAGCCAAUGAUGCAUUAAAAGCCACAUGAAGAGCUAUACCAAGAGGGAUAUAAAAAAAUCUAACCAAAUUCAUCUAAGGUCAACUUGAAUACUUAUAUUUGAUUCAAUGUGAUGUUGCUUGCUUUGAUAGCAUAGCCUAAAAUAGUUAUGACAUCAUUUAUAACACCAGAUCAAACUUAAUAUUGUGGAGUAUAAUAAAUCAUG
rnacentral:lncRNA from 1 species